UAGGGAAUCUUCGGCAAUGGGGGCAACCCUGACCGAGCAACGCCGCGUGAGUGAAGAAGGUUUUCGGAUCGUAAAGCUCUGUUGUAAGAGAAGAACGUGUGUGAGAGUGGAAAGUUCACACAGUGACGGUAACUUACCAGAAAGGGACGGCUAACUACGUGCCAGCAGCCGCGGUAAUACGUAGGUCCCGAGCGUUGUCCGGAUUUAUUGGGCGUAAAGCGAGCGCAGGCGGUUUAAUAAGUCUGAAGUUAAAGGCAGUGGCUUAACCAUUGUUCGCUUUGGAAACUGUUAGACUUGAGUGCAGAAGGGGAGAGUGGAAUUCCAUGUGUAGCGGUGAAAUGCGUAGAUAUAUGGAGGAGCACCGGAGGCGAAAGCGGCUCUCUGGUCUGUAACUGACGCUGAGGCUCGAAAGCGUGGGGAGCAAACAGG
rnacentral:rRNA from 1 species